UUCCUUCCUUCCUUCCUUCCUGUGGAUCCCACUGUCCCUGAGAGAGUGCAACAGCUCAGCCGUCCUGUCUGUAACCUGACAGCUGGGAAAUCCAGUUAUGUCUAACUUGGAUUUUGAGCUCUAGACAAAAAUUCACUUGAUCUUGGCUUUUAGAUGAAAAUGCAGUGGUAAAAUAAAAAGCAUUGAUUAAAAAAAAUAAUCUCUAUAAUAAGGAAAACAAAAGCUGCUGGAGCACAGCCUGGCCUCCAGAGAAGAGCUGCUGGCCAGAGGGUUUAGUGUUAUGUCCCAUUCCUACUGCAUUCCCACCAAAUCCAGUCUGCUAACACCUGCUCAUCUCCCUAGCUUUCAAAAGUAUGUGAGCUUGGAAAAAUGGGAGCUAUAAAACCUUCAAACCCAGCCAUUUAAGACAGGGCAGCGAGCUCCCGGCUGUGUCCUCAGGCACAGGGAGGAGCUGGCUCCCUCCCCCAGUGGCAGAGCCAUGCUGGGAAUCCCACAGUCUUCAAAGGGUAAGAGAGAAUUUUCCCACUUUUUGUGCCAAGUAAGGCCUUUAUCUUGCAGAGCAUCCAUAUGCGACACUCAGAUUGUCAGUGUUUAGCACCAAGAUGCCAUUUCUGGGAGCAGGAAUGCUGUUAUCUUGCUGUUAUCUACACCUGGCAGAUGUUGUAGUGAACUCCCGUCUGAUCCAGCAGGGUUUCUUGAGUAAUUUCAAUUCCAUUGUCUUUGGGAUGCAGGUGUGAGGUCUCUGCAGAAGGAAACUUGUCUGUAUUGCUCACUGGGUUUUGCUGCAAAAAGCAAAGAGCAGAGUUUUAAUUUCUGGAGAGAGCAGGUGCCUUGUGCCUGUCCUGCCACGUCCCACGACCGCCUGCCCUCCGUGCUGCACGUACCCGGGGGGGCUUUGGGGCAAAGUCCUUCUCGCAGACGUGCGCUAUGAUGCCCGCAGCCAGCGCGUCACCGAGCACGUUGGUCAUGGUUCGCAGUCGGUCCCUGCCGGGAGACAGUGCCAGCAUGCAGGGGGCUGCCACAGCCAGUGUGCCCGGGGUGUUGAUGGCUUUGCAUCCUGAAUGUCCCUCCCGCUGGUGUUGCCCAGUGCUGUGUUGGUUUUGGAGAUGCAGAGAGGUCCCUAUGUGAGCCCCGUGCUGGGCAGCAUCUGUCUCCCUACCUGUGUGAGCAGUGCAGGCAGCUGCCAGUGCCUCCUCCCAAACUGGGACAGGCACUGUUGUGCUAAGUGCAGGGAGAGCUGCCUCAGUGAGUCAUAGAACUCCUUGAGAUGCCUCUAGAGGAGAAAUUCUGUAGAUCCAGCCACCGGUGCUCUCUUGUCUACCCAGGCACCUCUCACACUAGUAGAAGGUGCCAGCAGUGCUGGAUACUCUGUGAUACUGAAAGGUUGAAGUGGUGGUGUGUUAACCUUCUUUGGUUGGGGGAAAGAAAAAAAGGGGAGGGAAAGAGAAAAGCAGCCUUGAUAUUUGGCACUGUUCCUUCUUUUUCCCUGGGGCUGGAAAGUACAAACCAGCCACCCACAUGUCACUUCCCUAACUCAGCAUCUGCUCUGUGGUUUCUCACCUAAUGACUCACUUUGUUCGUAUCUUAGUACUUUAGAAUGGCACAUUUCACAAGAUGUGAGUUUAUUUGUGACAAGUGUAUUCCAGCAUCAGUUCCUGUCUUGAGAGCAGUCUGGUUUCAUCCAUCAAGAUGAAGAUACAUCACCAUGAAUUGACACGGGGCACUGCCCACAGCAGUGGCCUGGAGAGCACUUACAGAGCCCAGUCGACGGCGAUGAUGAGGGUGAUGUCCUCGGUGGGCAGCCCCACGGAGGUGAGCACGAUGACCAUGGUGACGAGCCCGGACUGCGGGAUCCCAGCGGCCCCGAUGCUGGCUGCCGAGGCCGUGAUGCUGCAGAGAGAAGGCGGCUGUGCAAUCCAAACCAGCGUGUUUGCAUGGCAAACAUGAAGAUGACAACUGUCCCACAGGAACUGGGAUGAGGAAUGGAGGAAGAAGAACAGGUUGAAGAAAGGAAACCACAGAAAAGAAGUCCAUGGGAUUGCAACAGACUCUGAGAAGUGGAGAGUGCAUUUGGGAAGGGCUCUGGAUGCAGAGUGAUGGCCCCAGCCCUCAGACCAUGGGGCUGGGACAAGGGAGCAGGGUGUUCUCUCUGUGACAAUUCUCCCUCAGCUGGCUGCAGGAGAAGCCUGGUGGAGACAGAGCUGGAGAUCCAGGUUCAGGAGGAGACCAGGUUAUUAAGAGUUCCAGAAGCAACCGUUGCAGCGGUGGACAUUGGGGAAGGGAGGCAGAGUCCAGGUGGUAUUUUUGGGAUUAUGUGAAGAAGCAACAGAGAGGCCAGAAAAACCCUUUCCCUGGUCAAAUGCGCUCCAGGAAAAUGUUUGAAUUUGUGUGUCUUCUGGAAAGGAUAGUAGUUUAUAGUGUGAAGUCUUUUUCAUUGUUAUAAGGAAUGUAUUUCAAUGAAAAUAGAAUAGAUAAAUAUAAAAUUAUUAAAAUCUUUUCAAAGUAGGCAAGAUUUUUCUGUGGAAGAACUUGGGAUACGCUAUAGUUGAUUUUAGACUGUCAGUAAAGUGUUCCAAAGAA